rnacentral:tRNA from 1 species
GCAUUGCUGGUUCAGUAGCAGAAUUCUUGCCUUCUAUGCAGGAGAUCCAGGUUUGAUUCCUGGCCAAUGCA